rnacentral:misc_RNA from 1 species
UUGUGGAGGAGGACGCCGAAGGUGGGGCUGAUGACUGGGGUGAAGUCGUAACAAGGUAGCCGUACCGAAGGUGCGGCUGGAUCACCUCCUAACAGGGAGACAUAAACUGAUUAUGAUGUCUGAUUUAUUAAUAUUAGGCCGUAUCCUGUCACCUUAGGUCGAUCGGUACCUCAAAUUAUUAACUGUGAGAUUGAGAAAUCAUUAGCACUAUUUAUUAAUUUCAGUUCCUAAACUUGUCUAGGUCACACCCAACAAACUUUCUCCUGGGCUAUUAGCUCAGGCGGUUAGAGCGCACCCCUGAUAAGGGUGAGGUCCCUGGUUCAAGUCCAGGAUGGCCCAUUCGUUGUUGGGGGUAUAGCUCAGUUGGUAGAGCGCCUGCUUUGCAAGCAGGAUGUCAGCGGUUCGAGUCCGCUUACCUCCACUGAUCAACUACCUGAUAACACAGUUUGGAGAUUGUGAUUUGUUUAAUGUGAUUUAGAUGUUGUUCAACUGAAGGAACCUAGCUUCCUGUCGCUCCUGAAUAAUUCAGGCUGAUAAGACGCUGGGCUCACUGACUAUUCUUCGGAAUAUUCAGUUUAUUCAGCAGAACCUUGACAACUGCAUAGGAAAAUCUAGAAAAAUAAAGCAUCUCAUAGAUGCAUAGAACUCUAUUUUCAUUUUUUAUGAUUUAGAUUUCUAUGUUCAAUUCUUGAGUUAGAGCAAAUUAUCUAUUACUUAAAUUUCGCUUAGAAAUAAUUUUAAGUGUUUUGCUAAUUAACUUUAGCUAAGUUCAAUAGAUUAAUGGUCAAGCUACAA